rnacentral:rRNA from 1 species
UAGGGAAUCUUCCGCAAUGGACGCAAGUCUGACGGAGCAACGCCGCGUGAGUGAAGAAGGAUUUCGGUUCGUAAAACUCUGUUGUUAGAGAAGAACAGCGCAUAGAGUAACUGUUAUGCGUGUGACGGUAUCUAACCAGAAAGCCACGGCUAACUACGUGCCAGCAGCCGCGGUAAUACGUAGGUGGCAAGCGUUGUCCGGAUUUAUUGGGCGUAAAGCGAGCGCAGGCGGUCAAUUAAGUCUGAUGUGAAAGCCCCCGGCUCAACCGGGGAGGGUCAUUGGAAACUGGUUGACUUGAGUGCAGAAGAGGAGAGUGGAAUUCCAUGUGUAGCGGUGAAAUGCGUAGAUAUAUGGAGGAACACCAGUGGCGAAGGCGACUCUCUGGUCUGUAACUGACGCUGAGGCUAGAACGCGUGGGUAGCAAACAGG